rnacentral:lncRNA from 1 species
UGCGUGGAUUAUCCCCCCUUUCCCUCUUCAUGCGGUAGCGACCAGGAGGCGAACUGGGCUGUGCAUCGAUUUGGUGCGAGCUCGGCGGCGGCAACGACCUUUUCCGGCGUCCCUCUCCAUCGUCAGCGGUCUUCUCGUUGGUAACACCACCCUCUUCCUCUUCCAUUCCCUUUUCUCCAUGAAUUUCUUAAUUUUUAGGGUUAGGGUUCUAGAUUUUUGAGGAGCAGGGUAAAGAAAGGGUAAAAAGACCAAGAAAUUAAGGAGAUGAAAGAGAAGAGAUGAGCUUGCAUACUGAAGGGGGUGAUGGAGAAAACCUUAGCUCGUCAGUGGGAUCAAAUCAAGGAGGUGGGGAUCACGCAGGAGGAGAAGCUGCGGAGGAGGAACAACACCAGAAUAUCUUCUUAGAUCCAGCCAAACGUGAUAGCCCUGUUUCUUGUCUAUCUUCUCUGUUUUAGAUGAACUGUUAUUCCUUAUCUCUUCUUUAGAGCUCCACUGCUACAAAAAAAAUAGAACCAAUUCCGGCCAUUUUCACUUGGAAUGGAUUUGGGAUGCUGCUACUGUAUUUAGGAUGGUAUCCCAUCAUUCUGAAUCUGCUUCAGAACUGAACACUAGUGACGCUUCAGAACUUUCUGUAGGUGCAGACCUGAAGACUAGUGAGACACAGUAGCAACUAGCGAAAAUGACAAGUGCAGAAUUUUUUUUUCCUUUUACAAUUCAUCGUACAUUUUGUAGCUCUUUGUCACCUCUGUGAAAGCACUGCAUACGCCUUCAGUACACUAACCUUUCUCAGGUUUGCUUCUCACAUUUUUACAAUGUGCUUAAGGAGAAUGAUGAAUGGUUAAGCACCUAUUUAUUUCUAGUUUUGAUCUGUUGAUGCACACUCAGCACAAGAAUAAAACUGUACAUGCUCCAAUUUUACGUUGAUGUAUAUAUAUAUGGAGCUUAUUCUAGAAAGCACAUACUUUCUUUUAGGCAUAAAAAUAAACACCUGUAGCUGUAGAGCAGGACCGUAACACAAAAUAGAGGAAAAUAAUUCCCCUGUGUUUUUCAGGUCAUAAACUUCAAGAGUAGUUUCAGAACCGAAUUCCUUUUCACUAAAACGCUCCAGCAACAGAAAUUCACCUGUUUAAAAACAAAAGAAUGAGCAAAAGUUAAAACACACCCACACACCUGUAGGCGUUUCAGCCAUUUAUGUGAGAGCUCAUAAUUCUUUCCUCGGAGGAACGCAAGCACUGGUGGUCGUGCCCAAAGGCAGCGGAUGUGGUUGUAAUGCCCUUGGCCAAACUGUUGG